rnacentral:lncRNA from 1 species
GGUUCAGCGGAUCGCUCGGGAGGCAUUCGCAAGGUUGAAGGGGCGGUGGACUUGUUUACAGAAGCGAACAGAAGUAAAACUGCAGGAUUUGCCUGUGGUUAUUGGCGCUUGCUGUGUGCUGCAUAACAUCUGUGAGCUAAGGAAGGAGGAGAUGGAGCCGGAUCUCAAGUACGAACUGGUGGACGAUGAGAUGGUGCCUGAGAACAGCAUACGGUCGGUGAGUGCAUCACAGGCCAGGGACAAUAUUGCUCAUAAUUUGCUACAUCAUG